UACGUAGGGGGCGAGCGUUGUCCGGAUUUAUUGGGCGUAAAGAGCUCGUAGGCGGCUUGGUCAGUCGAGUGUGAACCCUCCAGGCUCAACCUGGAGCCGCCACUCGAUACUGCCAUGGCUAGAGUCCGGUAGGGGACCACGGAAUUCCUGGUGUAGCGGUGAAAUGCGCAGAUAUCAGGAGGAACACCGGUGGCGAAGGCGGUGGUCUGGGCCGGUACUGACGCUGAGGAGCGAAAGCGUGGGGAGCGAACAGG
rnacentral:rRNA from 1 species